GAUGAACGCUGGCGACGUGCCUAAUACAUGCAAGUCGAGCGAACAGACGAGGAGCUUGCUCCUCUGACGUUAGCGGCGGACGGGUGAGUAACACGUGGAUAACCUACCUAUAAGACUGGGAUAACUUCGGGAAACCGGAGCUAAUACCGGAUAAUAUAUUUAACCGCAUGGUUCAAUAGUGAAAGACGGUUUUGCUGUCACUUAUAGAUGGAUCCGCGCCGCAUUAGCUAGUUGGUAAGGUAACGGCUUACCAAGGCGACGAUGCGUAGCCGACCUGAGAGGGUGAUCGGCCACACUGGAACUGAGACACGGUCCAGACUCCUACGGGAGGCAGCAGUAGGGAAUCUUCCGCAAUGGGCGAAAGCCUGACGGAGCAACGCCGCGUGAGUGAUGAAGGUCUUCGGAUCGUAAAACUCUGUUAUUAGGGAAGAACAAAUGUGUAAGUAACUAUGCACGUCUUGACGGUACCUAAUCAGAAAGCCACGGCUAACUACGUG
rnacentral:rRNA from 1 species